ensembl:lncRNA
GAGAGGACUUGGUUGCUCCCCCCACAUGCCUUCUCACCGCCCAGCAAGCCCCCCUACUGGCCAGUGGCAACAACACCCUGUCAGUCCUCGGCUGUUGUUACUCUGAGCCCCCCCGGAAGCCACCACGGUGACCUCUGGUGACACUGCUCCGCCCUACGCCCACUCUGAUCCCGUGACUCACCCCUCAGAUCCCUGGCCCUGGGGACGAGGGCACACAGUUCAUGCUGCCCAGCCUUUCCUGGGUGCCAUGUGCAGCCCAGGAGCAGCCAGCAGCCCUGGCUGCUCUGAACUCCCAUGACCCCAGUGACGUCCGGAAAAGCAUUAUUUACAACUUGCAAGACCUGGAAGCUACCUAUAUGUCCACUGGCAGAUGAAUGGUUAAAGAAGUCAUGGUGCCUAUAAACAAUGGAAUGUUAGCCAUAAAAAGGAACAAAUUCGAGUCAGCUGAUGGAGAUGGGCGAACCGAGAGCUUGUCAUAUGGAGUGAAGAUAUAAGCACCCAGAGACGCCCCAGAGAAAGCCCUGGGUUCGGAUAUGUUCCUCUCUGUCGUCACUGAAUAGCAGCACCGUCACUUCUCAGGAUAACCAGGGCCAACUACCCCCACCAGGAAAGUAACUCCUUUGUUUGCCGGUCCAUCAGAAUACAGAGCUCAACGUGACCAGAUGGGGUUCACAGGUUUAAGUUCAGAGGAACACUGUUCCUGGGGCAAGACUUCAUCCCCUGGAUAACAAUGUAAUGGGACCUAAACGUUCGGGGACCAGAAGAAAAAGUGCUUCCCUUGGGUUUCCGGGAGUGAUGAGAGCGGCUGUUCCCACCUCCCCACAGUGCCUCUAGCUACUUGGAUGUAGUAUAUAUGGGCCAUCGGUUCAGGGCGUACCCCGUACGCUGGGGGACAGAGCCUCAGCCCCGCAGGGUGACGUCCCCAGCCUGCGUCUUAGCUGAAGGGAAUCCUGAUCUCUCUGCCCGGCUGCUUCAGCAACAUGAUCUGCGUCAGAACAGAAGAGCCUGCAGUCACAGCCCGCUGUCACAGCUCUUCUGGCUCGGAGGUGAUGCUACGAAAGACCAACCAGACAUCAGGUAACCUGGCAGAGCAGCUGUGGGCACAGAGAAAGUCUAUAUCCAGAGUAGGCAUUGCCCUGUUGAGGAAGCAUUUCUCCGUCUCCUGCUUCGAAGAGGUCUCAUGUAAUCAACUGGCCAAGUGAGGGGCUUGUCUUCUGUAGGGACGGUGUCACACUGAGGGCCCACAGCUCUUAUGAUGACACGGCGGCCUUUGGAGGGGUCAUCAGUGAGCUGAGUCUCAGGGAGAGGAAGCCCCCACCCAGCCUCCAGCCUGGCCCCCAUUGUCCCUGGUCAUGGCCCCCUGUGUAAACCCUGGUGUGGCUGAGGAAGCAGGCCCCUGUCAUCUACUGGACAAGCCAUCUUGUCUACCACAUGGUCAAGUACUUCCUUAAAAGAGGGGAGGGGUCUCGGGUGGGCUCAGGUGGCAAAAGAUCUACCUGCUUUGCGCCCAGCGCCCUCACACUCAUAUGCCUCUUCCCCAGACCUCCUCACCACUAGUCUUCCAGUCUCGCCCCUUUCUUAUCCCAGACCAACAGCCAGCCAUUCACCACCGCCCAGGAAUCAGCAUAUCCUUACCGCAGACCUCUCCCUCUCCCCUCCAGCCCUGCUGGGAGAACUUCACCUCACCACUGACCGUCCCCUGGGGACAGUCCUGAGUACAGUGGUCUACCAAAGAUGUGAAGAACGCUAAAACCAUCGGGAUCCCAGUAAAGAGAAAAGUCCAUUGGCCAAAAAUGAAAAAGACUCUGAAAACCAGCGUGCUGGGUAGCACUGAUGCCACGGGCCCUGGGACUGUUUGCUCAUCUGGGGCACCAAGACCUUUCCAUCGCAACGGCCACGAGAGAUGGGCGAGCAGGCCGGGACCUGGGCGAGGGUAUGGCUUUCCUUACAAACUGUCCCGUCGUUGGAUGCUGUUAAGGACUGAAGCACAGCUUGUUCAGCUGAAGACCCUGUUUCCUCUGGAAUAGCCUCCAGCAUGCGAGACCCCAGCAGAAGGAAUUGCUAAGUGCUUGGGGCUGACAACAGGGAGAAAAACGCCAGCCACCGCCAACAGCUGGGACGUCUCCUCUUUUAAAAGCUCCCAUCACUCCCACCUUGCUUCGUGGGGACAUCUGGUGCAGAUGCUAAAACUCAACUCAGAAAUGUUAUUCAUCAAAUCACCGGAAAACAAGCCUCCAGUCAGCGUUGGUCUACCCGAUUCCAAAGAAGAUAUGAUAUAUACAUAUAUCACACGUAUCACAUCAUCUUUGAGGAAUUAGUCCCUGGAAUGCUCAUGGACUCCAGAUAAAAACACAGCAGUUAUUUUAAACUGCUAAAGAAGGCAAAAUAUUGGAAACCACUUAGAUGUGGAAUUCAUAAAAUGACUAAGGAACUAUUACAUUCUCGAGUAGAGUGAAAUAAGGUUAAAACUACGCUAUAGAAAAUGUUUCUCCAACUCUGGGGAGGACCAGCUAACCUAAGAGAGCAAAGCCAUGGGCUACAGCUCCAUGUCACCAGCGAUCCAUGCAAUCCCAAGGCACCGGACCUCUGAGACCACUCCCAAAGCUGCCCAGGGGUCUGGGAGAGAGCAUGGAAGCUCACGUCUUUCCCCCCAUAUCUUUGUUGUUCAGUCGCUAAGUCGUGUCCAACUCUUUGUGACCCCAUGGUCUGCAGCACGCCAGGCUUCCCUGUCCUUCACCAUCUCCCAGAGUUUGCUCAAACUCAUGUCCAUUGACUCCAUGAUGCCAUCCAAGCAUCUCAUCCUCUGUGGUCCCCUUCUCCUCCUGCCUUCAAUCUUUCCCAAAAUCAGGGUCUUUUCCAAUGCGUUAGCUCAUCACAUAGUAUAG